ACACGGGGGGCGCAAGCGUUAUUCGGAAUUAUUGGGCGUAAAGGGCGCGUAGGCGGUCUUGUCGGUCAGAUGUGAAAGCCCAGGGCUCAACCCUGGACGUGCAUUUGAAACAGCAAGACUUGAGUACGGGAGAGGAAAGCGGAAUUCCUGGUGUAGAGGUGAAAUUCGUAGAUAUCAGGAGGAACACCGAUGGCGAAGGCAGCUUUCUGGACCGAUACUGACGCUGAGGCGCGAAGGCGUGGGUAGCGAACAGGAUUAGAUACCCCAGUAGUCC
rnacentral:rRNA from 1 species